rnacentral:rRNA from 1 species
UACGAAGGGGGCUAGCGUUGUUCGGAAUUACUGGGCGUAAAGCGCGCGCAGGCGGCUAUCCAAGUCAGUGGUGAAAGCCCGGAGCUCAACUCCGGAACUGCCAUUGAAACUGUUUAGCUUGAGGAUGAGAGAGGUGAGUGGAAUUCCCAGUGUAGAGGUGAAAUUCGUAGAUAUUGGGUGGAACACCGGUGGCGAAGGCGGCCAACUGGGCUAUAACUGACGCUGAGGCGCGAGAGCGUGGGGAGCAAACAGG